UGGGGGAUAUUGCACAAUGGGCGAAAGCCUGAUGCAGCGACGCCGCGUGGGGGAUGAAGGCCUUCAGGUUGUAAACUUCUUUUGCUCUGAACAAGGCGCACCAUGGGGUGUGUUGAGUGUAGGGGUUGAUUAGCGCCGGCUAACUACGUGCCAGCAGCCGCGGUAAUACGUAGGGCGCGAGCGUUGUCCGGAAUUAUUGGGCGUAAAGGGCUUGUAGGUGGCUGGUUGCGUCUGUCGUGAAAGCUCAUGGCUUAACUGUGGGUUUGCGGUGGGUACGGGCUGGCUUGAGUGCAGUAGGGGAGGCUGGAAUUCCUGGUGUAGCGGUGGAAUGCGCAGAUAUCAGGAGGAAUACCGGUGGCGAAGGCGGGUCUCUGGGCUGUUACUGACACUGAGGAGCGAAAGCAUGGGGAGCGAACAGG
rnacentral:rRNA from 1 species